CUGUUCGCCUUCUGUCUUUGUGGCUCGUCGUGUACUAGCCGGUCUUGCUCGCCUCGAGGCCCAUUUCCUCGAUUGUUGGACGUUGCGCAGACGGAGAUCUCGUCGCGCACGGCACCUCUUUGGUUUCCGCCUCAACGGAUCGCCUGCGUCGCAGAGCAAGAACUGCCGUUCAGGUCGAUAAUCAUAGCAUCGCGCUAGUUGGGCGCAUGCACCUACUCUUACGCUGUUGUUCCCCCUCCUACACCAUCACCACCCCUCGCAGUCAUCAUGACGGACCCGACACGUAGGGAUCCCACCGAGUUCCUGCGGGUGCUUCGCCGCAUGUCGAAUACGACGUCGUGGCAGAAGGCAAUGAUCUUCGCGUCCAAGGGUCGCAUGGUCGGCUACCGUCUCACCCUCGAGCACUACAACACAGUCCUCUACUCCCAGUCCAUGUGGGGGCGUGCGCUGGAGAUGAUCAAGGUAAUUCGGGCCAUGCAGCAGGAUGGCGUGCAGCCCAACGGCGCCACGUACUACUACAUCGUGAAUGGCAUGGCAAACGCAGAGCACGGCUACAACUACGACUUCAACAUCAACCAUAGGCUGGAAAAGCUGCAGCACUGGCGUGUGGCGCUGAAUGCACUCCACGCGUGCGAAGCCAACGGCUUCGACUCGACCGACACAAUGCACAACUCCGUCAUUGUAACCAUGACCAUACCUGGCAUGAACCACUGGAAGGAGGCCUUGCAAGUCCUAAAAAAGAUCAUCGAUGAGGAUCGGCAGCUACAUCCGAGCAUGGUUCGCUUCCUUCAUGACUGCCUGAUUCGCAACUACCGCCCUCGUGAGGCGAGCGAUUUGUUGCGACGCGCAGCUGAGCGCGGCGUGAAAGGGUACGAAAGCGCGUGGGAAACGGACGUCUACAAGGGCAAACCGACAGACGCCCAGCUCGAAGCCUCGCAAGCCGAGGCUGCCGUGACGGCCGCCGCGGGGACGGAGUGUGUAGCUGGUAGCAGCGGCGCUCUCUCGUCCUUGACGUCGGACUGCAAGGAAGCUACCCGCAACUCUGCACAAGCAUCCGCAGCUGCCACGCUCAUGGCCCUGCAGCUGCGUGGCGAUCAGGCACUGCCUCCGCCGCAGAUGCGCAGCGCCCUUCAGGAAGAGAUGGAGCGAAACAUUACAGCUGAGCGACAGGCGCUGCGCCCCUUCACCGCGGGGCUGCACUACACCGAAAUGCGCUCCGUCUUCCGUCCACGUGUGCAUCGCCAGCUGUGGUACCAGUGGCAUCAAAUCGCGAACCGCUAUCGGCCCACCGCAUCGCUCAAGCGUCGUCAGCUGGCUCCCCGAGACUCGCCCACCGGUAUCCCCGCAUGGAAUCGCCUGUGAGGAGCAGCAAAAGCCGAUGAAGAGCUCGGCGAACGAAGAAGAGUACGCGGGGCGUGCGUGUUUAUUUGUGUGUGUGUGUGUGUGUGUGUCCCGGUCAUGUGGCACGACAACCGGCAUCGCACAGGAAACCUUUUGAGGAGCCGCCCAGUGUGUUGGCUGGUUUCGGUCCGCAACCGGCCCUCGGCACCAGCUCUCUUUUGGUGUGUCUCUGUCGGCGGCGAUCACGUCAACCAACCGACCUCUGCAUCUUCACAGUAUCUCUGGUUAAUCGAUCAAGCGUGUGCGCUCCGCUGUGAGGGAAGCGAAAGAAUACAUAAAGAGAGAGAGCGAGAAAAAGGCCGCGUAGUAAUGGCAGAGAAACAGCGGUUCGCCGGAUAUGGCAAGGCAGCCGUGACGACAGGCAACGCGGGAGCAGGCGGCUACCGCAAUGCACUUUGUGUGUUUCACUGUGCGUCUGCGUGUGUCACCUCGUGUGCUCUGGGUGGGAUGGGGGAGGGAUGCUCCAACAUACGCGAGGCCUCAUGUGCUUUUCUUCUGUGUUACCCAUCUUCUCAUCUGCUCGCCUCCCGAAUGAACACCCCCUCGGCGCGGCACCAAAG
rnacentral:misc_RNA from 1 species